rnacentral:rRNA from 1 species
AACGAACGCUGGCGGCAGGCUUAACACAUGCAAGUCGAGCGCCCCGCAAGGGGAGCGGCAGACGGGUGAGUAACGCGUGGGAACAUACCCUUUCCUGCGGAAUAGCUCCGGGAAACUGGAAUUAAUACCGCAUACGCCCUACGGGGGAAAGAUUUAUCGGGGAAGGAUUGGCCCGCGUUGGAUUAGCUAGUUGGUGGGGUAAAGGCCUACCAAGGCGACGAUCCAUAGCUGGUCUGAGAGGAUGAUCAGCCACAUUGGGACUGAGACACGGCCCAAACUCCUACGGGAGGCAGCAGUGGGGAAUAUUGGACAAUGGGCGCAAGCCUGAUCCAGCCAUGCCGCGUGAGUGAUGAAGGCCUUAGGGUUGUAAAGCUCUUUCACCGGAGAAGAUAAUGACGGUAUCCGGAGAAGAAGCCCCGGCUAACUUCGUGCCAGCAGCCGCCGUAAAAC